UGAUGCAGUCUUGAUGGAGUGA
rnacentral:piRNA from 1 species